rnacentral:rRNA from 1 species
UACGUAGGGUGCGAGCGUUAAUCGGAAUUACUGGGCGUAAAGCGUGCGCAGGCGGUGAUGUAAGACAGAUGUGAAAUCCCCCGGGCUCAACCUGGGACCUGCAUUUGUGACUGCAUCGCUAGAGUACGGCAGAGGGGGGAUGGAAUUCCGCGUGUAGCAGUGAAAUGCGUAGAUAUGCGGAGGAACACCGAUGGCGAAGGCAAUCCCCUGGGCCUGUACUGACGCUCAUGCACGAAAGCGUGGGGAGCAAACAGG